rnacentral:tRNA from 1 species
AGUAAAAUGGCUCAGUUAGGAGAGCGUUAGACUGAAUAUCUGAAGGUCCCUGGUUCGAUCCCGGGUUUCGGCAUUA